AACGCGUGAGGAACCUGCCUCAAAGAGGGGGACAACAGUUGGAAACGACUGCUAAUACCGCAUAAGCCCACGACCCGGCAUCGGGUUGAGGGAAAAGGAGCAAUCCGCUUUGAGAUGGCCUCGCGUCCGAUUAGCUAGUUGGUGGGGUAAUGGCCCACCAAGGCAACGAUCGGUAGCCGGACUGAGAGGUUGAACGGCCACAUUGGGACUGAGACACGGCCCAGACUCCUACGGGAGGCAGCAGUGGGGAAUAUUGCACAAUGGGGGAAACCCUGAUGCAGCGACGCCGCGUGGAGGAAGAAGGUCUUCGGAUUGUAAACUCCUGUUGUUGAGGAAGAUAAUGACGGUACUCAACAAGGAAGUGACGGCUAACUACGUGCCAGCAGCCGCGGUAAAACGUAGGUCACAAGCGUUGUCCGGAAUUACUGGGUGUAAAGGGAGCGCAGGCGGGAAGACAAGUUGGAAGUGAAAUCUAUGGGCUCAACCCAUAAACUGCUUUCAAAACUGUUUUUCUUGAGUAGUGCAGAGGUAGGCGGAAUUCCCGGUGUAGCGGUGGAAUGCGUAGAUAUCGGGAGGAACACCAGUGGCGAAGGCGGCCUACUGGGCACCAACUGACGCUGAGGCUCGAAAGUGUGGGUAGCAAACAGGAUUAGAUACCCUGGUAGUCCACACCGUAAACGAUGAUUACUAGGUGU
rnacentral:rRNA from 1 species